UUCGCGGCCUAUCAGCUUGUUGGUGAGGUAAAGGCUCACCAAGGCGUCGACGGGUAGCCGGCCUGAGAGGGUGACCGGCCACACUGGGACUGAGACACGGCCCAGACUCCUACGGGAGGCAGCAGUGGGGAAUAUUGCACAAUGGGCGCAAGCCUGAUGCAGCAACGCCGCGUGAGGGAUGACGGCCUUCGGGUUGUAAACCUCUUUUAGCAGGGAAGAAGCGAAAGUGACGGUACCUGCAGAAAAAGCGCCGGCUAACUACGUGCCAGCAGCCGCGGUAAUACGUAGGGCGCAAGCGUUAUCCGGAAUUAUUGGGCGUAAAGAGCUCGUAGGCGGUUUGUCGCGUCUGCUGUGAAAUCCCGAGGCUCAACCUCGGGUCUGCAGUGGGUACGGGCAGACUAGAGUGCGGUAGGGGAGAUUGGAAUUCCUGGUGUAGCGGUGGAAUGCGCAGAUAUCAGGAGGAACACCGAUGGCGAAGGCAGAUCUCUGGGCCGUAACUGACGCUGAGGAGCGAAAGGGUGGGGAGCAAACAGGCUUAGAUACCCUGGUAGUCCACCCCGUAAACGUUGGGAACUAGUUGUGGGGUCCAUUCCACGGAUUCCGUGACGCAGCUAACGCAUUAAGUUCCCCGCCUGGGGAGUACGGAAU
rnacentral:rRNA from 1 species